rnacentral:lncRNA from 1 species
GAUUGGCUUUGGUCUCCACUUGUGGGCCAUGGGGCCUCCUAGUUUUUUGUAUACCUAUUGACUGAUCUUUAGUAGGAACUAGGUGGCAAAUCUCUGGGUAGUCAAAAAAAGGUACCAUACACAUACACCCCACACAUACACAGCACAUGUACCAUACACACACACCCCACACAUACAUAGCACAUGUACCAUACACACACACCCCACACAUACACACACACACACACACAUUCUUCCUGAAUGUGUUGGCUGUAGAAGAGCUCCAAUGAGGUCUGUUAUGUCUUCAGCAGAUCACAGGACGGAGGCUGUGAGGUGGUGAAUGCACUGGGAUGCACAGCAGG